rnacentral:misc_RNA from 1 species
AACCUUAUGGACCUGCGGGCGUAUACCUGCGGAAGGAUCAUUAUCAAAACAGCGGCCUUCGGGCCUUGCUGCACCCUUGUCUUUUGCGCACCGUAUUGUUUCCUCGGCGGGCUUGCCUGCCGGUUGGACAUUAUCAAACCUUUUCGUAGUUGCAAUCAGCGUCAGAAAAACAAUAAUUAUUACAACUUUUAACAAUGGAUCU